AACGAACGCUGGCGGCAUGCCUAACACAUGCAAGUCGAACGAGACCUUCGGGUCUAGUGGCGCACGGCUGCGUAACGCCUGGGAACCUGCCCUUAGGUUCGGAAUAACUCCCUGAAGGGGGUCCUAAUACCGGAUAAUGUCUUCCCACCAAAGAUGUAUCGCCGUUGGAUGGGCGUGCGUUAGAUUCGCUGGUUGGUAGGGUAAAAGCCUACCAAGGCGACGAUGCAUAGCUGGUCUGUGAGGAGGAUCAACAACACUGGGGAUGAGACACGGACCAGCAUGGGAGGGGAGGGAGGAGUGGGGAAUAUUGGACGAGGGGGGAAAGUCUGAUAAAGCAGCGCGGGGGGAGAGAUGAAGGGCGUAGGGUUGCAAAGCUGUUUUAGCCGGGAUGAGAAUGACGGUAAUGGGAGAAUAAGCACCGGCUAACUACGUG
rnacentral:rRNA from 1 species